rnacentral:rRNA from 1 species
GGCUUAUAAUUGAAGUCUGGCAUGAAAGAAUCUACGGGUAGUUACUGUCUUCUUUGGUUUUUCUGAACUUCCUUAAGAGGUGAAAAUGCCUUUAAACACAAAAUAUACGAGAAGACCCUAGAAAUUUUUUACACAUUUAGAUUGAUCUAUUUUCUAUUUUGUUGGGGCGACAGAAUAACAUUUAACUUAUUUUAUUUAAUGAGCACUAUGUAUUGUGGAAAAACAAAUUACUCUAGGGAUAACAGCAUAAUUUUAUUAGUUUGUGACCUCGAUGUUGGACUAGGGAUUUUAUUAACCAGCAUUGAACUGAACAUGCUCUGU